rnacentral:rRNA from 1 species
CCUACGGGAGGCAGCAGUGGGGAAUAUUGCGCAAUGGGGGAAACCCUGACGCAGCAACGCCGCGUGAGUGAGGAAGGACUUCGGUCUGUAAAGCUCUGUUAAUGAGGAAAAAUGGUAGUUGGUCUAAUAGGCCGAUUAUUUGAUGGUACUCAUAGAGGAAGCACCGGCUAACUUCGUGCCAGCAGCCGCGGUAAUACGAAGGGUGCAAGCGUUGUUCGGAUUUAUUGGGCGUAAAGCGCGCGUAGGCGGACCCGCAAGUCAGAUGUGAAAUCUCGAGGCUCAACCUCGAAACUGCGUCUGAAACUACGGGUCUAGAAUCUCGGAGGGGGAAGGGGAAUUUCGCAUGUAGGGGUAAAAUCCGUAGAUAUGCGAAGGAACACCAGAGGCGAAGGCGCCUUCCUGGACGAGUAUUGACGCUGAGGCGCGAAAGCGUGGGGAUCAAACAGGAUUAGAUACCCUGGUAGUCCACGCUGUAAACGAUGAACACUAGGUAUUGGAGGAUUUGACCCCUUCAGUGCCGUAGCUAACGCGUUAAGUGUUCCGCCUGGGAAGUACGGUCGNAAGAACUAAACGUCAAAGGAUGAGNGUGNGNGNGCGAGNGACACGAGGAGAGG